rnacentral:rRNA from 1 species
AACGAACGCUGGCGGCAUGCCUAACACAUGCAAGUCGAACGAGACCUUCGGGUCUAGUGGCGCACGGGUGCGUAACGCGUGGGAACCUGCCCUUAGGUUCGGAAUAACUCCCCGAAAGGGGUGCUAAUACCGGAUAAUGUCUUCGGACCAAAGAUUUAUCGCCUUUGGAUGGGCCCGCGUUGGAUUAGCUAGUUGGUAGGGUAAAAGCCUACCAAGGCGACGAUCCAUAGCUGGUCUGAGAGGAUGAUCCGCCACACUGGGACUGCGACACGGCCCAGACUCCUACGGGAGGCAGCAGUGUGGAAUAUUGGACGAUGGGCGAAAGCCUGAUCCAGCAACGCCGCGUGAGUGAUGAAGGCCUUAGGGUUGUAAAGCUCUUUUACCCGGGAUGAUAAUGACAGUACCGGGAGAAUAAGCUCCGGCUAACUCCGUG